AGGCUCAGAUUGAACGCUGGCGGCAGGCCUAACACAUGCAAGUCGAGCGGUAGCACAAGAGAGCUUGCUCUCUGGGUGACGAGCGGCGGACGGGUGAGUAAUGUCUGGGAAACUGCCUGAUGGCGGGGGAUAACUAGUGGAAACGGUAGCUAAUACCGCAUAACGUCGCAAGACCAAAGUGGGGGACCUUCGGGCCUCACGCCAUCAGAUGUGCCCAGGUGGGAUUAGCUGGUAGGUGGGGUAACGGCUCACCUAGGCGACGAUCCCUAGCUGGUCUGAGAGGAUGACCAGCCACACUGGAACUGAGACACGGUCCAGACUCCUACGGGAGGCAGCAGUGGGGAAUAUUGCACAAUGGGCGCAAGCCUGAUGCAGCCAUGCCGCGUGUGUGAAGAAGGCCUUCGGGUUGUAAAGCACUUUCAGCGAGGAGGAAGGGUAAUGUGUU
rnacentral:rRNA from 1 species